rnacentral:rRNA from 1 species
GAUGAACGCUAGCGGCGUGCCUAAUACAUGCAAGUCGAGCGAAUGGAUUGAGAGCUUGCUCUUAUGAAGUUAGCGGCGGACGGGUGAGUAACACGUGGGCAACCUGCCCAUAAGACUGGGAUAACUCCGGGAAACCGGGGCUAAUACCGGAUAACAUUUUGAACCGCAUGGGUCGAAAUUGAAAGGCGGCUUCGGCUGUCACUCAUGGAUGGACCCGCGUCGGAUUAGCUAGUUGGUGAGGUAACGGCUCACCAAGGCAACGAUGCGUAGCCGACCUGAGAGGGUGAUCGGCCACACUGGGACUGAGACACGGCCCAGACUCCUACGGGAGGCAGCAGCAGGGAAUCUUCCGCAAUGGACGAAAGUCUGACGGAGCAACGCCGCGUGAGUGAUGAAGGCUUUCGGGUCGUAAAACUCUGUUGUUAGGGAAGAACAAGCGCUAGUUGAAUAAGCUGGCACCUUGACGGUACCUAACCAGAAAGCCACGGCUAACUACGUGCCAGCCGCCGCGGUAA